CCUACGGGAGACAGCAGUAGGGAAUAGUGCUCAAUGGGGGAAACCCUGAAGCAGCAACGCCGCGUGGAGGAUGAAGGUUUUAGGAUGGUAAACUCCUUUUGUUAGAGAAGAGGAUGACGGUAGCUAACGAAUAAGCACCGGCUAACUCCGUGCCAGCAGCCGCGGUAAUACGGAGGGUGCAAGCGUUACUCGGAAUCACUUGGCGUAAAGAGUGCGUAGGCGGGGUAAUAAGUCAGAUGUGAAAUCCUGUAGCUUAACUACAGAACUGCCUUUGAAACUGUUACUCUGGAGGGUGGGAGAGGUAGGUGGUAUUCUUGGUGUCGUGGUCCACUCCGU
rnacentral:rRNA from 1 species